AAAGUUUGACAGAAAGACAAGAAGUAGAUGCAUAUUCCAGGAUAAAGAAACGGAAAAUAAAAAGCCCUGAGCGAGCUAAGAACCUAAAAAAGAAAGAAUUGCAAGAAAUUUCUUGAUUCUACAGAAACUGGAGCAUUAAGGAACCAUCUCUAGAAGCACCUGCUCUGCUGCAUAGUAUCCCACUCCUAUGAUUGGGGUCUAACCCAGGGCCUCACAUGCCAGCACUGGAGAUAGAACCUAGGGUCUCCUCAUACAUACAAAGUUUUGUCCUGCUGAUGAACAACAGCCCCAGCCAGCCCCCUGAAGAACUGAAACUCUAUUCUUCUCAACUUUGAACUGGCUACAUAAACACCUUCAAAGGACUGUAUGUUCCUCAGUCUCUGGACUACUGUGUGAACAUAUAUAAUUCUUAUGUAUUUUACCUGUAUAAACAAAGAAAUUCUUUGCCAGGAAAUACCAUUGUCAAACGCUGUGAGGCUUAAAAUAGAUAAUACAUAUAUAAUGUCUAGCAUAAAGGCACAUAGUAGACAAUAAAUGUAAAAUGUACAAAA